rnacentral:tRNA from 1 species
UCCCUAGUGGCUCAGUGGUAAAGAAUCUGCCUGCAAUGCAGGAGAGCCAGGUUCAAUCCCUGGCUUGGGAA